GGUGAGUAACACGUGGAUAACCUACCUAUAAGACUGAGAUAACUUCGGGAAACCGUAGCUAAUACCGGAUAAUAUUUUGAACCGCAUGGUUCAAAAGUAAAAGACGGUCUUGCUGUCACUUAUAGAUGGAUCCGCGCUGCAUUAGCUAGUUGGUAAGGUAACGGCUUACCAAGGCAACGAUGCAUAGCCGACCUGAGAGGGUGAUCGGCCACACUGGAACUGAGACACGGUCCAG
rnacentral:rRNA from 1 species